rnacentral:rRNA from 1 species
UACAGAGGGUGCGAGCGUUAAUCGGAAUUACUGGGCGUAAAGCGCACGUAGGCGGUUUGUUAAGUCAGAUGUGAAAGCCCCGGGCUUAACCUGGGAAUGGCAUUUGAUACUGGCGAGCUAGAGUUUGGUAGAGGAAGGCGGAAUUCCCGGUGUAGCGGUGAAAUGCGUAGAUAUCGGGAGGAACAUCAGUGGCGAAGGCGGCCUUCUGGACUAAAACUGACGCUGAGGUGCGAAAGCGUGGGGAGCAAACAGG